AACAAUCGUUUCAGAGGGACAAGA
rnacentral:siRNA from 1 species